CAAGUAGAACGCACAGUUUAUACCGUAGCUUGCUACACCAUAGACUGUGAGUUGCGAACGGGUGAGUAACGCGUAGGUAACCUGCCUGGUAGCGGGGGAUAACUAUUGGAAACGAUAGCUAAUACCGCAUAAUAUUAAUUAUUGCAUGAUAAUUAAUUGAAAGGUGCAAUUGCACCACUACCAGAUGGACCUGCGUUGUAUUAGCUAGUAGGUGAGGUAACGGCUCACCUAGGCGACGAUACAUAGCCGACCUGAGAGGGUGAUCGGCCACACUGGGACUGAGACACGGCCCAGACUCCUACGGGAGGCAGCAGUAGGGAAUCUUCGGCAAUGGACGAAAGUCUGACCGAGCAACGCCGCGUGAGUGAAGAAGGUUUUCGGAUCGUAAAGCUCUGUUGUAAGAGAAGAACGGGUGUGAGAGUGGAAAGUUCACACUGUGACGGUAUCUUACCAGAAAGGGACGGCUAACUACGUGCCAGCAGCCGCGGUAAUACGUAGGUCCCGAGCGUUGUCCGGAUUUAUUGGGCGUAAAGCGAGCGCAGGCGGUUAGAUAAGUCUGAAGUUAAAGGCUGUGGCUUAACCAUAGUACGCUUUGGAAACUGUUUAACUUGAGUGCAGAAGGGGAGAGUGGAAUUCCAUGUGUAGCGGUGAAAUGCGUAGAUAUAUGGAGGAACACCGGUGGCGAAAGCGGCUCUCUGGU
rnacentral:rRNA from 1 species